GACCUUCUCCGUAGGCGAGAGACAACUGAUGGGUAUGGUGAGAGCACUACUCCGUAACUCCAAGAUCAUUCUUUUGGAUGAGGCCACAUGCUCUGAUCCAGAACACCAUCAAAGACGCCGUCAGUGAUUGCACCAUGCUCACCAUCGCACAUCGCAUCAACACUGUGAUGCAAGCAGAUCAUAUUCUGGUCAUGGACAACGGAGAGGCAGUAGAGUUCGGCAAUCCAGAUGUGCUGAAGCAACGACCAGACUCCAUGUUCUCCUCCGUCCUUGCUGCUGCCAACACUGUGAAUACAUGAACCAGAGAUCUGUGAUACCCAAGAACUGCUACACACGUUUUGUUUU